CUACAUUACUAGGCACCCAUAUUAUAGAUGCGAAAGUGGUUUGUUUGUUGGUUUGUCCCUCAAUCACGUCGCAACGGAGCAACGGAUCUACGUGGAUUUUUACAUGGGUAUAGAUAAAGACCUUGAGAAAGACAUAAGCUACUUUUUAUCCCGGAAAAUCAAGGAGUUCCCACGGGAUU